GUGUUUGCUUCCAGCAUAUAUACUAACAUUGGAACAAUACAGAGAAGAUUGGCAUGGCACCUGCACAAGGGUAACACACAAAUUCAUGAAGUGUUUUAUAUUUAA